AUUUACGUUGUUCCAAGACCUUCCGGUUUUGUGCAUCAACAUUUGAAAUAUGUAAUAAGUGAGGAGCUUUUAUUCUAUAAAAGGACUUCUCACUCUCCUCAUUAAGAGAGGUGAAGGUUUAGGCUAUGGGGAGAGAAUAGGCUAGAGAGCAUACUGCCUCUAGCCUUCUUGUAUAUUCACCAUUCAGAGUGAAACAAUAUCAACAUCAGUGUGGACGUAGUCCAAACAUUAGGGUGAAUCACGAUACAUCUUGUGUUCUUUACUUUCUUGCAGAUUCACGAUCGGAUUUACGUUGUUCCAAGACCUUCCGGUUUUGUUCAUCAACACAGCUCUUGGUGGUAAUUGGAUCAUUUGUUUGGAAAGGAAUAGGACAUUAGAGGAUUAUAAAGGUGUAGUGUGGAAGAACUAUGGGGUACAGUUUGUGCUCCGAGUUGCCUAUCAGUCUCUAGAUACGAAAGAGGUUAUUUUUCUUAACAACAAUUUUGUUUAAUGUUGGUUGAACUAACCAAACCGGUUUUGGGGGUUAGUUAAGGAAACUAUACUUAGGGGUGAAAUGAAGUGGCCAGUUGUUCUAGUUCCUGGACAAUAUAUUUGUGUCGAUCCAGUCUGGUUUUAAUAAAUAAGCAAUGGCAUUUGGUGUAAGUUAGUGAAAACUUAAAUUAUUCUUUGGUGUGAAAU
rnacentral:lncRNA from 1 species